UAAGUGGAGGCCAAAAAAGAGGCGCCUAGCUGUUAAUUAGGAGACUGUAAAAACAUUACUCACUUAG
rnacentral:tRNA from 1 species